GCGGCUGUAGCUCAACUGGAUAGAGCAUGUGACUUCGGAUCACAAGGUUGUGGGUUCAACUCCCACCAGCCGCA
rnacentral:tRNA from 1 species